rnacentral:rRNA from 1 species
UACGAAGGGGGCUAGCGUUGCUCGGAAUGACUGGGCGUAAAGGGCGCGUAGGCGGCGCUGCAAGUCAGGCGUGAAAUUCCUGGGCUCAACCUGGGGGCUGCGCUUGAGACUGUGGUGCUAGAGGAUGGAAGAGGCUCGUGGAAUUCCCAGUGUAGAGGUGAAAUUCGUAGAUAUUGGGAAGAACACCGGUGGCGAAGGCGGCGAGCUGGUCCAUUACUGACGCUGAGGCGCGACAGCGUGGGGAG